rnacentral:rRNA from 1 species
UACGAAGGGGGGCUAGCGUUGCUCGGAAUCACUGGGCGUAAAGCGCACGUAGGCGGAUCUUUAAGUCAGGGGUGAAAUCCUGGAGCUCAACUUCGGAACUGCCUUUGAUACAGCACGUCUUGAGUCCGAUAGAGGUGGGUGGAAUUCCUAGUGUAGAGGUGAAAUUCGUAGAUAUUAGGAAGAACACCGGUGGCGAAGGCGGCCCACUGGAUCGGUACUGACGCUGAGGUGCGAAAGCGUGGGGAGCAAACAGG